rnacentral:rRNA from 4 species
UGGGGAAUCUUGCACAAUGGGCGGAAGCCUGAUGCAGCGACGCCGCGUGGGGGAUGACGGCCUUCGGGUUGUAAACUCCUUUCGCCAGGGACGAAGCCGUGAGGUGACGGUACCUGGAUAAGAAGCACCGGCUAACUACGUGCCAGCAGCCGCGGUAAUACGUAGGGUGCGAGCGUUGUCCGGAAUUACUGGGCGUAAAGAGCUCGUAGGUGGUUUGUCGCGUCGUCUGUGAAAUUCCGGGGCUUAACUCCGGGCGUGCAGGCGAUACGGGCAUAACUUGAGUGCUGUAGGGGAGACUGGAAUUCCUGGUGUAGCGGUGAAAUGCGCAGAUAUCAGGAGGAACACCGAUGGCGAAGGCAGGUCUCUGGGCAGUAACUGACGCUGAGGAGCGAAAGCAUGGGUAGCGAACAGG